UACCUCCUAAAUAUUACUAGAUCCUCUGAAUUACGAGAUGGUUUAAGGGGAGUAAUCAGAAAAAUGCUAACUUUAAGCUAAUACUCAACUGACGUCACAGCACAGCAGCUGGAAAAUGACUCUGGCUGGAUUCUGCAUAACAACAGCGAACUCCGGUCAGUAAUGUUGAGAAGUGUAAUGUUGAGCAGUAUAGUCUGUGUUAGAGCUUUAAAAAGCAGAUAAUAAGAGAAAGUGGCUCUCAGUUCAGCAGCGCUUCCCUGAAAGGUUUAGUAUUUAAUUACGGUCAUUAGUGUAUACUAAUUACAACACCUGACCCAAAUAAUCAGCUAACAUCUAAAUAAUCAACUAAUCAACUAAGUACCUGCCUUUACUUCACACAAAAUGGUUCUGGAGUAGCCUAUCACUGUUAUGUUUUAGUGAUUUUAUGCUGUGACACUCUCAGCUCUCCUCAGUACAGGCAGUUAGUUCAUUCGUUGGCUCAGCUGUGUUUAAUACGCUGUAUAGUUACGGCCAGAGUUCGCUGGUGUUGCGCCGAAAAUAGUCCUCCGGCUAAUCUCUGCAGCUGGGCUGGGAGUUCCAGCACCAGCUUCUCUAAACGCUCUGGUUUAUCAAUCCUGGCCAUGCUCUUCUCCAAGAAGGACAUCACACUGGAACAAAGGGUGAAAGAUGUACCACAGUCAGCUCUUCCAGAUGCUCACGCUGCAGAUCCUUCUCAGUGGAACCUGAACAGCCCAUUCCCGCUAACCC